rnacentral:rRNA from 1 species
AGCCCUGCUAGUUGUGCGGGUUUAGACCCGCAGCGGAAAGCUCAGUAACACGUGGCCAAGCUACCCUGUGGACGGGAAUACUCUCGGGAAACUGAGGCUAAUCCCCGAUAACGCUUUGCUCCUGGAAGGGGCAAAGCCGGAAACGCUCCGGCGCCACAGGAUGCGGCUGCGGUCGAUUAGGUAGACGGUGGGGUAACGGCCCACCGUGCCCAUAAUCGGUACGGGUUGUGAGAGCAAGAGCCCGGAGACGGAAUCUGAGACAAGAUUCCGGGCCCUACGGGGCGCAGCAGGCGCGAAACCUUUACACUGUACGAAAGUGCGAUAAGGGGACUCCGAGUGUGAAGGCAUAGAGCCUUCACUUUUGUACACCGUAAGGUGGUGCACGAAUAAGGACUGGGCAAGACCGGUGCCAGCCGCCGCGGUAAUACCGGCAGUCCGAGUGAUGGCCGAUCUUAUUGGGCCUAAAGCGUCCGUAGCUGGCUGAACAAGUCCGUUGGGAAAUCUGUCCGCUUAACGGGCAGGCGUCCAGCGGAAACUGUUCAGCUUGGGACCGGAAGACCUGAGGGGUACGUCUGGGGUAGGAGUGAAAUCCUGUAAUCCUGGACGGACCGCCGGUGGCGAAAGCGCCUCAGGAGAACGGAUCCGACAGUGAGGGACGAAAGCUAGGGUCUCGAACCGGAUUAGAUACCCGGGUAGUCCUAGCUGUAAACGAUGUCCGCUAGGUGUGGCGCAGGCUACGAGCCUGCGCUGUGCCGUAGGGAAGCCGAGAAGCGGACCGCCUGGGAAGUACGUCUGCAAGGAUGAAACUUAAAGGAAUGGCGGG